UCAUGAAGGCUCCGGCAGAAUCCAGUGCCACAACGUUCCACCGUCUUGUCCGGCUAUAAAAUCCUCUCUGCCUCUCCUCUGGAUCCCACAGCAUCGCCCGCGUUUUGCAAAUCCUCAUGAUGCAACAACCAUCAUCCCCGUCCUAGCCACCGGCCCGUUCCUCGCCGGAGCCUCGACCGCCAGGUUCCGUCUCUCCUCCUAGCGCCGCCGUUGUAUGCCCUCCGCGUGACCAGGUUGAUGGCCGGCAGGGCUGCCCGAGGAGGCCAUGCCAUGAAGGGCCUUUCUGCCGUGGCCAGGUCGCUGCAGAUCCCCCCGUGACUACCGUCGCAAACCCCAACUCCUGUCGAUACACGCCCAUAGGCCAUGGCCACCGCCGGCGGCGGCGUCUUGAGGCGCUUUUGCUAGGAUGGUGGAGGCUAUCGUGGAGGCAUGCGCGAUGGUGGGACGAACAGAGGCAGCGUGAUGGUGGACCUGGUGGCUUCCGGUUCAUCUGGCUUCUGCCAGGGGCAUAUUUGCGUCGUCCUCCUGGUCCUGGGGUUCAAGCGGCCGUCAUUAAUCGGGUGCGUAGUGGCGGAAGGCGUCCUGCUGCUCGAGAUGUUGCCGUUCUGCUGCGUUAAUGAGGGAGGGUGCGUCAAUGAUCAGUUGUCCGGUGUUCACUCAUCGCGUCGGGCUUGGCAUGCCGGUCGGCGUUUUGCUCGCCAUGUAGAUCGUGGAGCUGUGUCUUCAUCGCACGAAGAUUUUGCUGUCAAUAGUUCGUACCGUCGGCGUCGUCCCGGCGGCGGCUACACAUGAAGCCGAGCGGGGGGCUGAAGGGGAGGACAGCAGCUGAAGCACGGACUCCGGCGGCGACUACCAUGCUACACAUGAAGCCGAGCGGGGGGCUGAAGGGGAGGACAGCAGCUGAAGCACGGACUCCUGCGGCGACUACCAUGCUACAGAGGCGACGAUGAGGCAUCGGCUCUGGCUGCAGGAAAGCUUUGUGGUGGUGAAGGAGUUGGCAGGCCCAGAGGAUGACUUCCGGGCGAGCAUCUUGGUACGCAUAUGCAAGCAGGAAAAAAUGAAAAAAAUUGCAUAGACCAGACAGCGAGAGAACAAAACGAUCUCUAAUUCAUAUGUGUUAGACAAAUUAGGUUUUGAAACAAUGCUCGAUAUUUUUGAUGGGUACGGCUGUCAUAUAUUUAUAAGAGGGAACCGUACAAAAUAUAGGUUAUGUUACAACAUGUAUAUCUAAUAUAUACUUAGUCUAACACCCUUCCUCAAUCUUAACUAUGUCCUGAAACAUUCAGGAGGUUAAGAUUGCGACGACAUCCUUCAAAAGAAGGCAAGGGCAAGGGUGCGACGACAUCCUUCAAAAGAAGGCGAAGGCAAGGGUUUGCUGAAAAUAUCAGCAAGCUGAUCCUUAGAAGAAACAAAUUUAAUCUGAAGGAACUUCUGAGCAACACGUUCCCUUACAAAAUGAUAGUCAACUUCGAUGUGCUUUGUUCGAGCAUGAAAUACUGAAUUGGUUGACAGAUACGUAACACCGAUGUUAUUACACCAAA